rnacentral:tRNA from 1 species
CAAGCCGUAGCCCAGUUGGUCGGCGCAUUGGUUUAUAACCAGGGGAUCGCGGGUUCGAGUCCCCACGGAUGCA